rnacentral:lncRNA from 1 species
AAAACCUGGGGUUCUUUCCAAACGAAUCGAAGAAGACUGUGUUUUAAAUCAAUCACUGUUGCAUCAUGCAGAUAAAAGUCGUUAGGUAGGUAUUCUGAAGAAAACCCUCGCAAACUGAUCCAUCUCAAUUUCGCAGAAAGGUAUUCUGAAUCUGCAACCAGUUUCUGAAGUCUUGAUGAGUCUCUUACACCUACAAGAGGAGAAUCACUUCUGGAAGACCAUCCCUAAAUGAAUCUUGUCCCCGGUGAUGAAAAGAGCUAAGAGAAACAAAUAUAUUCCACAUAAGAAAGCAACCACUUCCAAAAGAAGUUUCAAAACCAUAGAUUAAGAAUGUUCUUACAGUUGCAUGCUUCAUAUCCUCAUCAAUAAUUUCACCAAUAAUAUUUCUUCCCAUUUCUCGUAGCAACGGAUGCAUUCCUAAUUUGUUGUUCUUAUUAACUCGUAUGAGACUACGCUCAAUCAAAACUCUUAUUCCACUAUCAGCGUCUAUUCCACAGCCGUUUAGGAUCUUCGUAACACAGGCUCUGCCUUUACCAACAAAGGAACAACAUAGAUCAAGGAAUAAAUCUUUUUCCAUUUGAUUGCAUAAACCGUCAAAGCUUAUUUUCAAUAUCUGAUCAAAUUUAAUAAACUCGGGAAUUUUCUUUAGUUUUAAGAGUACUCUAUUCCAUUCUUUUUUCGUCCUUUGAUAUAAAUAACUUCCAAUGACUUCAAGAGCUAGAGGUAGUCCUCCACAAUAAGCAACUACUCUUUCUGCGAGGAAAAGAUAAUCUUCUUUUGGUUUUGCUUCUCUAAAUGCGUGCCAACUAAGAAGCUCAAGGGACUCAUCUGUGUUCAUUAUUAGCUCUACCUGAAAAACAGAAUCAGUUCGAUAUAGCAUCGGUAGGUUUUUAGAUGCUGUUGUAAUGAUUAUUACACUUCCUCCUCUGAACCAAUGACUGCAUUUCCAUAGUAAUGUCGCAUGAAACGUAGGCAUAUCGUCAAGUACAAUGAGCACCCUUUUCCCAGAAAGUCUUUCCCGAAUCAUACGCCUUCCCAUCUCAAAGGUACCUAUCUCUACCUUUGCUUUUAGGACAUCUGAAAGGAUUUGUUCUAGUAAACCAAGAUUCCCUCUUAUUCUGCUAACUUGUCCAAUAUCUUCAAUGAAACUUUUCUCCGUGAAUGUACCGUGAAUUUGAUGGUAGAUAGCUGUAGCAAGGGUGGUUUUACCAGAUCCUUCCUCUCCACAUAUAGCUAUCCAACAAACUUCCGUGGAUUUAUUUUUGAUAGCUCGAAUCAGAUCCUCCAUGUGCGAUUGUAAGCCAACUGGAAAUUUAGUGGCAGACAAUAGUGGUAAAUUAAGAACGGUCUUAACAAUUUUGUCCACUAGUUCAGCAUCACUCCUUCAAGUUCAAUAGCAAUUAUGGAAUAAGUCAUGUCAUGUAUUACCAAAAUUAAAUGAGAAGCUUAAAAAUUAUGGUCACUGAGUGAGUGAUUUACCUGUAAUUGCUCUCAUCCCAUCCAAAGAAAUUUGCAGCUUUGGUGAGUGCGUGGCUCCAUUUGGACAUGGCAUGUUCCAGUUGUUGUCCUGAAAAUGUUUGGUGUGCAGUUUCUUUGAAGGCUUUUCCAAAAUCACCCUUCUGAAGACGUACAUCAGAUGGCUCAAUUUCGUAAUAAACUGGCAGAACAUUUCGACAAUAAGUUUCUUGCCAUCUAAUGAUUUGUUGAAGCUGUUGAAGACACCAAGCAGAUUGAGAAUAGGUUUUGGUGAAAACAACAAUUGCUACACGAGAGAGAUUGAGAAUAGGUUGUUCGAUGUGAAUUGGGUUGAGUGCAUUAGGGUGGUGAAGGAAAGUGGUGAAGCCAACAGUAGAGAGGACAGAAUCUAGAUGAGAGACAAAUUUCCUUUGGAUGUCUUCUCCAUUGAAGUUGAUGAGCACAUCAUACAUCGGUGAGAUUUUGGAUGUUGAAGAGGCCAAUUUCAUGGAAGGAAUUGAUGAAGUCAUGAACUGUUAGCAGAAGAGAAAUCAAUGAUGCAACACAGUCAAAUAAUAUGCAUAGACAUAACCGUUAAGGACCCCAAAGAUGAAUAAUACAUUUUUUUUAGUCAAAUAAUAUCACAGAACCCCUUUUACUUUAGCCUUUUAAAAAGUUAGACCAACGCACGCCAACUUUGAAUCACUGAAAAAAUAAAUAAUAUACUAAUUCCUAUGAAAUUUUCUCCAAUAUAUUCCUUUUUUUUUAUAUUAUGCGUCCAUUUUUUUAAGUUUUAAAAUAUAACACAAGCAUCUUUGUUUACAUUACCCAUUCACCUCGUUAACAUAAAUCAUUGUAACAAAAUAAAAGAAGUAUAAAUUAAUAUAAUUUGAAAAAAAUUACGACAGGUCAUUUUUUAUAAACAAGUAAAGGAAUUGUGUGUCUCUUUAUUAAAAUAUAAGAUUUAUUAAAAAUAUUAGUUAAAUGAAUGUCUGUUCGAAAAUUACAGAACUUAUAGUGUCAUUUUAUUAGAAAAAAUGUUUUAAUAUUAGAGGAAAUGUUCGCCUAUAACUUGGGAAAAAAAUACAUGUAAUUUUCUCUUUUAUUUACAAUACAGAUUGUAAAAAAAUAAUGAAAGUGAUAAAUUUAAUAUAAUUGUAUUUAUUACACUUUUUACACUAUAAAAUUGUAUCCUUAUAUCCUUAGUGAAAAAUCCAUUCUUGAUACCACUCUCUUCACCUUAAAAGCCAUUUCUCGCAUAUGAGGAGGGUUUCAAAAGUAUUUCAUUUUAAUCCAAACAACUUAAAUUGGGUCUCCAAACAUGGAAUAGGGUAAGUACUUUCUUGGAAACCUCAUACACACUCAUGUAAAGUAAGUCAAUUAAGUCAACUUUUUUUAUGUUGAACUCCUACGUAAAAAAAUAUGGUAAUAUUUUCGUAAAUAUUUCAAACAUGUUCAUGUUCAGAUGUUCUAGGGUCUCGUGUAAAUAUUCGUAUAUUUACGUCAGACUCUUAACUGUCUGACAUAAAGUUGUUUAAAUAAGAACACAAUGCAUCUUCUUCCUUGCAUUUUGAACGCACAUGAAUCCCUCUUCUUCUCUGGCGAAGGCGACUACAACGCGAGUCUACAUGUGGUCCAUCACAACCAAACACACAUGUUUUUUCCUCUAUUUUUUCCUUUGUUUAGUGUGUUACGCAACUUUAUCUUGUUGACGGUUUUGAUCAAGGUGUAGCAACUGUUUUCUCAUCUGCUGAACCUGCAGCAGGUCCAGUUUUCUUAGGACCGAGCCAGGUGCCUGAGAAGUUGCUGUAUUGCUUUGUGGUGUAGAGUGUAGAGCGUUAGUGGCUUGCUUGGUGGUCCCUAGAGUGCAGGUAGCAAGUUAUGCCUCUAUGUAGUAGUAGGUUUUGUUUGUUGGUUUGAACCUGGUUUUGGGAUUCUAAGGGCAGGGAAGGCUCCUUACAUAGCUUUUUUGGAACUAAGUGGUGUGUCUCUUAAUCUGCAAGUGGUGUGUCUCUUAAUCUGCAUAUAUUUGUAGGUAGCUUUAUUAGGAGUUCUUUGUAUACGGGUUAAGACACUCUUAAAGUGUUAUUUUUUAAUUAAUUCAUUGCUGAUAAAAAAAAUGACACGAGUCUGCACUUGUUGUUGGUCAUCUCUAAUUUCUACUUCCGUCUUUAUAUCUCAUUUGUGGCAGCAGACGUUUCUCUAUUGCAUUGGAGCAUUUGUGGUGAAUAUUUGUCAUUAAUGUUAGUUCUUUACAUUUUCAUUUUACUAUUGAAAUUGAAACUCUGGUUGUUUUUAGGAUCUCAAUCAUGAUAAUAUAUGAAUGUUUCCAUUAGAUUGUUGUUGGCUAUCGUUGAUAUUGAAAUUUUUGUUAAAUUAAAUGUGUUAUUUAGUUGUUUAAAUUUCAAAUCUUGAAAUUAAUGUUUGUGUAAUUUUGAAUAUUAUAAGAUGUUUAAAAUUGUAUUUUACACUUUAGAAAUAGUCAAAAUUAUAAGGACUAAUUAUAGAAAAUUUAUAACAUGUUUUGUAAUUAUAAGGAAAAAUGUAAUUUAGAUUGAUUGCAAAAGUAAGAUAUGCAUUGUAGUAUGUUUGAGUGAUAUAUUUUGUUUUUGUUGUAAUCAGCAUACACAAUAAAUAAAAAUAGUUCAUAAGUUAGAUUGUUUCAACUGCUUCAAAUGUUAUGAGUUACACGAAGGGUGCUACUCUUCCAUGAAUUGCCCAUCAACCACGGUCUUGCCCAGACCAAGCUUAGAGAAGUCCAUCUCAUGAUAAACACCUGAGGCUUGUGCAACAGCGUCCUCAAAGCCCACAGGAUAGUACGUAGCGUCGUUGGUGAAGGCCUCUUUCUCUUUAGCCACCUCCUCAUUUUUCCGCGUCAGUUCAUCUCCUUGAGCCUCUCCACCUCAGCCAAGAGCUUUGCUCUCUCCUCAAAUAAGCCUAAGGCCUCCUUGGAUUUCUCAGUCAGGAGGGCCUCUGCUUCCUGUUGCCUAGUGUUUUGACUGUUGGAGUUCCUCUUGGAGUUUCGCCGUCUCUUGUUGAAGUUCUCCUUAAAGGUUCUCCACUCAUUGAUGGAGCUUAGCAGCCUCCUGAGACUUCUUGUCAGCUGAUCCUCUCCAAUCUUUCAGCUUAGUGACAACCAAACAGCUUGCAACAAGAGCUUGCCUCAGUUGUCUCAUGGUCUCUUAAACAACACGGUCCUCCUCGAGGCGUAUAAGAUUCUCCUUCGCCUUGUUGGGCAGGAGAGCCUUCUCGAGAAAGGAGGGGACGUCCAGGCCUUGGUCCCAUAUCCCCUCUUCUUGGAAGCUCGUGCCCUUAUCUUCUCGCACCACUAUCAUGUCGCGUGGCGGGGUUGGGCUUGGCGGAGGGGCAUGGUUGGAAGGAGCGCACCCAUUUGAUUCGGAGUGCUCGGUAGGAGCAGCUGUUGUUUUCCUUCUCCUUUUGAAGAUUGGCCUAGAGAAGGUCUCCUCGUUGUCCUCAGUAAAGGUUGGAACUAUUAUAGCAGGAGCUUUAAGUAAGAGAUUUUGGGGCGCCUGGGCAGCCGCCCUCAUGCUCUUGGCCCUCUCUGCCAGAUCCUUCUUGUCAAUCCGGGCCAACAUGCUAUCUACGAAAGAGGGUAAGAGUAAAUUAGCAACAAUAUUAAAGUUAACACCAUCAAGAGUAGAGAAUGAAAAGUACUGAUGUAAGCUUAGCCCCCUCUGCGGAGAACUCUUUGCUUAUGAGAGUGGCAGUGUCGAAGACCACCUUUAAGCUUGAGAGGAACUGACAGACCUCCAGGUCACACUGGGGCAUGUCUUCCAGGUGUCGAACACCUUGGAAGCGUGACUUUUUGGUCCAAUACAGAGGAAACCCAUCCAGGAGAGUUUGAUCCCUCUUAUUGCAUCGUACCUUCAAGAAUUUGCCUUUAAAUCCCUUAUAGGAUUGUUGGAAAAGCGAUAGCAAUGCUCUCUCAACCACCCCAUUGAAAGAGACCCAGAGUUGGCAGCGUAGGUGUUUGGCCUCAAAGAAAUACAUAAAGACUUCCACAGAUGGUAAAAGGCCAAACUGCGUGCAAAGAAUGGAGAAACCCCAAACAAAAGCCCAACUAUUUGGAUGUAUCUAGGCAAGGGAAACAUUGAUCUCGGUAAGGAGCACUUUCUCAAAGUUGAACAGGGGAAGGCGAAGAAGGAUUCUUUUGAAUAAGGUGGCAUAGAAGUAGCAAAAGGGACCCUCAGGGUCCGAUGACUCUUCACAACAUAUGGGUUCAUCUUCUCUACAUGGGACUAACCUAAGGGCUAUAUCGUUUUCUCUGCCAAAAUGGAACUUAUUUUGGCACUUGUUUUUCCUAAGGGCCACUAUUUGGUCACGAGAGGUAUAUAUGGAAACUUCUUCUAAUAGGUUCUAGGGUGCCCAGGGGUAUAGAGCUUUGUAAUCCAUUGCAAGAGUAUCUAAAAAUACAAACACAAGCAAAUACAAACACACAUUCAGGCAAGGCAAACCACAUGCAACGAUGCCUUUUAGAUUCAAGCAAAGCAAUAUAACUAGUAGAAAUAGUGAUAAGCAUAAGCAGGAAAGAAUAAAUUCAGAACAGACCCAAAUUAGGCAAUAUGAUCGUAACAAAUGUUUCAAACAGAUAAUGAUGCAAAUACAGAGUAAUGAUUUGAACGAAAGGAAGUACCUUGUUUCAGGGAGCGAUUAAGGACGAGGAAGUUUCCUAGGUUUGUGAAGGAGACGUAGUGAAAAUGAGAAAGGCGUGAAGGGUUUGCAACCAAUAGGGAAAUGAAACAGUGAAUGGUAGGAGGGUUUUGAAAUGGCAAGUGACAACACCUUUCCAUCGUUGAUGAGGAUGCCAAGUGUGCGUCUAGGAUUAGGUGUGUGGUGGGAUGUCACCUCAGAAAUGCUUCGUGCGCUGUGCCACACCUGUCCGUUGCGAGACUGACACGUAAACCGCCAGAGCACGCGAAUAGUCUCUUUGCUUAGGCAAGCUCAGCUCAAGCCUGGAGGCCUUAUGUACUGGACAAAGCGCUCGAGGCUCAGUACUUUGUGGUCAGAUCUUGGUGCAUGACACAGGCAGGUCAACUCGGUUGUUGGGCCAGUAAAGUGGGCCAUGUGAUUGGGCCAUGUUUAGUUGGUAAACCCGUUGGGGCAUAAUUUAAUAUUUUAUACAGCCACUAAUAAAGGGUAUUUUUGAACCUAGGGGUACAUGUAGUACAUGUGAUGCCUAAAUCAAGUAAGUGUUUCUUUUAACUUAAGUAUGUAUGUUCUAGGGCACAUAGUAGUUAAGUUGCAUACAUGACAAAAGAUAACGUUGCACCAUGAGUAAGGUUUCCACCUAAGAGAAAUAUUCCCUUGAUGUUGGUGCAUGAGUUGGUGCCCUGCUAGCAGGUGAUUGUUCUGUUAUUAUUUUAUGCACUUCUUAGAGAUAAGAUUUCCUUCUAUUGCAGUACCUUGAGAGGGCGCCCCUAAACAGAAUGUUUUCCUAGUGAUUACGCUUUUAGUUGAGAUUAGAUUCUUGUGAGAGAAAAAUGUUACAAAAGAUAAGCUAUAAAAGGAGCUUGAGACCCCAAGUAAAGGUACGUUGUUUCUAAGACUAAAACUGAAUACUUCUUAAAUUUGAGUAAGCCCUUUACUGACUUGAUCGUCGGAGUUUAAUCAACAGGUAGGAUUCUCUUUAUUUCAAUGGAGUCGUGUUCCAGUAUAACACGACGUAGAACAAAUUCCAGAAGAGACAGACCCGAGCUAGAGCUUGUCACCAGAGUCAACCGACGACAAAGUCAACUAGCAAGAACAAUAAGCUUCGACGAUUUACGUAAUCAAAUAGAAAAAGAUUUAUUCCUUGAUGUGUUUUGUUUCUUUGAUGGUAAAAGCAGAGCCUAUGUUACCAAGAUCCUAAAUGGUUGUGGAGUAGACCCUGAUAGUUGAAUAAGAGUUUUCAUAAAGCGUAACCUCAUAAAAGUGAAAGAAAACAAAAAAUUUGGAAUGCAUCAUUUACGACGAGAAAUGGGAAGAGAAAUUAUUCGUGAAAUUUCAAGAAAGGAAUCUGGAAAGAAAAGUCGACUGAGACUGGAUGAGGAUCUAAAACAUGCAUUGUCAUAUAGUACUGUAAGAACAUUCUUAAUUUAUAGUUUUGAAACUUCUUUUGGAAGUGGUUGAUUUCUCAUGUGCAAUACAAUUGUUUUUCUUAGCUCUUUUCAUCACCGGAUAAAAAAGUCAUUCAGAGAUUGCCCACCGAAAGACAUUUCUUUGAACGUAAUCCUUUAGAAAGAGACCCAUCAGGACUGCUAACACUUUUUGCAGAUUUUGAGGACCAUUCUAAGAAACGGAAAUGGAUCAGUUUGCAAGGGUUUCCUUCAGAAUACCUACCUAACGACUUUUAUGUGCAUGAUGCAAUAGCCAUUGAUUUAUAAUACUCUCUUCUUCGAUUUGUUAACAGAUUUAACCAAUUUUGUUAUGUUUUCAAAAAAUCAAUCGAUUGAAAGUGUGAAUCAAUCGAUGAAAAUGGCUUUGAUUGUGAGGUCAACCAAUUUCAAGUUUUUCAAAUGCUUUCCAAAACUACCAAGUGUAAAACAACCGAUUGAAACGACAAAUCAACAAGUUGUUUUUUCACUUGCUUUGAAAAACACUUCUUCUUUAUAGAUCAUGAUUGAUUUAGUUUUGGAUCAAGUUAAGAGUGGAUUGAAAAAUUCUAAUCUACCCAAAACCCAUGCCCACAAGCAACAACCUAGUCCUCAAGCAAACUUCAUAGAUUUGGAGACAUCAAAGCUUCAUGUUCAACAAUCUCCCCCUAUUUGAUGAAGAGAAAUCCUUGGUUUUCUUGGGAUGUUCUGUUUGAGUUUGACAAUAUCUGCUAAACACAAAAUUUUCAAAUACAAGAGGUAAUCCCUUCCAGAUUUCAUCAACACCAAAGAACCAUUUUUCACUUAGUGAUUUCCAUAAGGGAAACAAAAUCAGUGUGAAAAGAUAGUUAAAGAGAGGUGCAAAUCAGAAUUUUAUGCAACAGAGGUUUAUGCAGUAGUUUUAAUCAAAGUAAGCAACAUAUAAACCAAGUUAAAACAAAAUUUAAGCACACAAUACAAACAUACAAACCACAAAAACUUCUCCCCCUAUUUUUCUUCACAAAUAGACUUAAAGGAGAGAUAAAAAUAACACUUAAAAUAGAGUUUGUAAGUCAAGAAUUCCUAACUCAUUUCUGAGAAAGAAAAACUUGUCCUUUGACAAAAGUUUAGUAAAAAAAAUCUUCCAAUUGCCUUUCCGUUGCACUGAACUUCACCUCACAGUCUCCAUUACUCACAUGAUCUCUAAUGAAAUUGUGUCAGAUCUCAAUAUGUUUUGUCCUAGAGUGCUGAACUUGAUUUUUUGUGAGAUUGAUGGCACUUGUGUUGUCACAUAGUAGGGGUACUUUGCUGACUUUUAAUCUAAAGUCUUCAAGCUGUUGUUUAAUCCACAAAAUCUGAGCACAACAGAUUCCUACAACAAUGUAUGUGAUGAAAAUAUAUUUAUUAACCCACAAUAGCAUUAAUCAUAGAUUAUUGGACUAUAAUAAUAAAUAAAUCCAUUUUUUUAAUUAAUAUUAAUAUAAUUGGGUUUAUUUGGGCCUUAACUAUUAUCUUUGGUAAUUUUGUGUUUUUAGGGUAAAUGAUCUAAAGCAUCUACCUUUAUGAAUGGGCCAAACAUGCAAAAGUCCAAGUUGCUUCUUUGAAUCAAAACAGAAAACAAAUUCUGAGGAGAAGAAAGAGAAAAUAAAAGCUACAAGAUCCCAGAAACAGAAUUGGAAGCAAAUCUUCUGCAAUAAUAAAAAGAAUUAUGGAAAGUGGAAAUUGUUUACAAAAUCUAAACUGCAAUAUUUUCCCAAGAUCCUUGGAGCAGAAAAGCCUAUAAAAGAACACAAGCAUCAAGGAGAAAAGAGAGAGUUUCAUAGGGUUUUCUUAGUUUAUUUUCUUCUUAGUAAUUCUUUUGUUUUGCCUCCGCAUGGAAGGCUAAACCUUUUUGGUUGAUUCCUUUGUAAUUUCCCAUUGAGUUAUGAGGUUUUGUUCAAUAAAAGUUUCGAUUUUUAAUUCUCUAUAGCAGUUGUUUUUAUUGUCUAAUNNNNNNNNNNNNNNNNNNNNNNNNNNNNNNNNNNNNNNNNNNNNNNNNNNNNNNNNNNNNNNNNNNNNNNNNNNNNNNNNNNNNNNNNNNNNNNNNNNNNGGAAAACUAGAUUUUGUGAGAGGUUGUACUUGAACGCAUGAUUGAGAGUCUUCCUUGUCUUAAACUUUGGUUUCUUAGUUAGUUCACAUCGUUCUAAUUAAUUUCAUGGGCGCAUGAUUCAAGAGAGAGGAGGUAAGCAUUCCCAUGGAGUAUACGCAUGGAACAAAGUGAGUAUUGAUUAAACCAGUAGACGCAUGUUUUACUGGUGAGUUUCAGUUGAAUUAGAUUGGCGCAUGUUCAAUCUGGUUUAACUCUGUUGGAGGAUUGAGAAAAGAUUAAUCUUUAGAGAACCUGUGAAGAAUUCAAUGGUGGAAGAACUUAGGGAUCAAUUUCUUUUUAUUUUCUAUUUCAAUCUCUUUUAUAUUUUCUGCAUAACUAUCUUAACCCCCUUUUUAUUAUUAUUGUUAUUACUAACUUUUCAUUACUUGUAGAUAGAUUUUGAAUUCGGUUAACUGAAUCACUAUUGGAUUCGUUGGGAGACGACUUGGGGUCAUCUGACCACAAUUAUACUAUCAUCUCUCUAGUGUUAGACAAGUCUACGCUAGAUUCAUAUUAAUUUGACAGCAAAACGGCAGCUAUCAGUAUGUUACUUAAGUAGUGAAGAGUGUUACGCAGGCUUGCUUCUUGCUAUGCCAAGAGAUAAGGCUGGAGCCAAGACAAGUUCCACUUGUGCUUUUCCUAUCUAGUUUGCAUCCUGCAAAAUUCGAAUCAGAGUAUCCAACUAAAUGUACAGGAGAAUGAGAGGGAUACCAUAACUGAUAAGUGCCAAUGUGUAGUUUUUAUGAUUGAGAAAAUUGAACACUUUGGAACUUAAUUGUUGCUUAAUGUAAGAAAAUUACCCUAAUCUGAGAAUUAUUGAAUCUGAUUAUAUAUUUUUGAACCAAGAAACAAAUGAAGAAAUUUAAUCUCAAUUUUUGUGUAAAUUGCAGAUGAAUAUGAAGCAUUGAAAGAAUUAUUCAAGCUGGCUUUGAAAGAAAAAAAAAAGUAAAAACUUAAUUGGAUCACAAGAAGAUUUAGCUCAAGCUAGAGGAUUUAGCUCAAGCUAAAACUAUCCAGAAUUGAUUAAAGGUGCAGUAGAAUUCUAGCCCAGGCUAGAAUUGCUAGCUCAAGCUAAAACUGUCCAGAGCUGAUUAAAGGUGCAGUACUGAUCUAGCUCAGGCUAGAAUCGCUAGCUCAAGCUAAAAAUGCACCGAAAGAUCUAGCUCAAGCUAAAACGGGCUAGCUUGAGCUAAAAUUGAUUAUAUAAAUUCUGAAACAUAACUCAAAACGAGCGGUGGAAAACAGAUUAGGUUUUUUAGAAAGAGACUAGUGAGAGAAAGAGAAGAAACCUCUGUUCUUAGGAAAAGAACUUGCUCAAAUAAGCCCUUCUUAUGCAAUCCAGAUCAAGAAUGAAGAUUGGAGGAGCUGUCAUGAGUGGCUAAGUUCUUUCUAACUUGGGAUUGAAUGUAAUUUAUCUUGAUCAAAUGUAUUCUUGGUGAUAUAUAUAUAAAAUUCUCUUUUCUACUUGUUCUUGGUAUUUUCGUUUUAUGCUUAUUGCUUGAUUCUGUCUGAUCAAUAAAGUCUUGAUUUUGAUCCUUAAAUUUAACUGGAAAGUACCUUUAAGGAUCUGAAAUAAACGAAAAUACUUGAUAACUUGUAAUGCUAGGAAUAGAUUCCAGGUUAUUGAUUGCAUUAUAAUUCUGUUCCUAAAGCUGGAUGAUUUGUUAAAUAUCUGAGGAAUCAGUGUUUGAGAAAUUAUCUUAUGAAUUUCAUCUGUGAGGAAUCAAGAUGAAUGACUUUAAAUUAAGCAUCAAGAAUAAAUAGUUUUGAGUAUUAUAUAUUGUAUUAUUCAAAAUACAGAUGAUUGAGAUAAACGCAAUUCAAUCCCAAGUAUCUUUCUCUAUAUUUGAUAAGUUGGUUUUGUUACAUCCAGAAUCAAACCCUAAAUCUUUGAGUUCUUGUGAAAUCUUUAAUUUGGUUAUGAACAAAGUCUCAAAAUUAUUUUCUAUACUUAAUGAGUUUUAAAACAGAACAUCUUAAUUAGAAUUGUUCCCUGUGGGUUCGACAUUCGUACUUUAAAGAGUACUAUAUUACAGUUGAUUCGGUACACUUGCCGAGAAAGAUCAACAAGUUUUGGCGCCGUUGCCGGGGAACAAUUUCUUUUAAGAAUUUCUGAAGUAUAACUCAUUGAGUAUUGUGAAUAUUCUGUUUUCUUUGUGAAUAUACAUUGGUUUAUAUCUUAUUCUUUUAUCCUGUGCUAAUCCUUGCUUAAGUUGUCUUAGAUACAUGUUAUUGAGAGGACAGGUUCCUGAAGAUCAAUUGGAAUUUGAUCCAGAAAUUGAGAAGACAGCUAGAAAAAAUCAGACAAGAAGAGAAAAGAAAAGAAGAAGCAAGGACAAGCAAAAGGAGAAUCUUCCANNNNNNNNNNNNNNNNNNNNNNNNNNNNNNNNNNNNNNNNNNNNNNNNNNNNNNNNNNNNNNNNNNNNNNNNNNNNNNNNNNNNNNNNNNNNNNNNNNNNNNNNNNNNNNNNNNNNNNNNNNNNNNNNNNNNCCACCAAAUCAUUAGAAAUGAAGCCAGCUUUUCUUAGCUUAAUCAGCACUCAUCAAUUCACUGGAAUGGAUCAUGAAGACCCUUAUACUCAUCUAUCCACAUUCUAUGAGUUGGUUGGGACCAUGGGCUUCGAGGAAAAUGAUAUUGAAUCUGUUUAUCUGCGUCUAUUUCCUUUCUCACUUGCAGGCAAAGCAAAAGAAUGGUUAAAGUCGCAUCCAAACCAGAGUCUAAGUAGCUGGAAUGAUGUAGAAGAGAAAUUCCUACACAGAUUCUUCCCACUCUCUCGGUAUAUCAAGGCUAAGUUUGAUAUCUCUAUAUUCGGGCAAGGGCCAGAAGAACCUUUUUGUGAAGCUUGGGAACGCUUUAAAGUGAUGUUAAGAAGAUGUCCUAAUCAUGGCUUUGGGGAUAUUGCUCAGUUGAACAUAUUCCACAAUGGUUUGAGGCCUGAUACUAAAAUGAUCNNNNNNNNNNNNNNNNNNNNNNNNNNNNNNNNNNNNNNNNNNNNNNNNNNNNNNNNNNNNNNNNNNNNNNNNNNNNNNNNNNNNNNNNNNNNNNNNNNNNNNNNNNNNNNNNNNNNNNNNNNNNNNNNNAUCUUAGUACUUUAGAUGCAAUUUUAGCACAAAACAAGAUUUUGACUCAGCAAAUUGAGGCAUUAACCAAGCAAAUGUCAAAACUGCCUCAACAAUUACAUGCAGUAAAUUCUCCUUCAAUUCAGAAUCAAGCUUUGAAGUGUGAUUUUUGUGGGGGAGAUCAUCUCAAUGGCCAAUGCUCUUACCAAAAUCCAUCAGAGGAAGAGGUUCACUAUAUGAAUAAUCAAGGAAGGCAAGGUGGCUUUGCAUAUAAUUAUCCAAAUAACAUGACUCAAGGAUGGAGGAACAAUCCAAAUCAAGGAUUUGGGUGGAAGCAAGAGGCUGGAUCAUCCAACAGACAAGCUCCAAUUCCUUAUCAACAGUAACCACAUUAUCCUUCCAUUCAUGAGAGAACAUAAAAAUUGGAAGAUACUUUUGAGAAGUUCAUGCAAGCCUCUCUAUUCAAUCAAAAAAAUACUGAAGCAUCAAUAAGGAAUUUAGAAACACAGGUGGGGCAGUUGGCUAAACAGUUAGCUGAUAAUCAAGGAAGUCAAUUUUCAGCCAAUACACAAACCAAUCCCAAGGAGCAUUGCAAUUCUAUCACUACCAGAAGUGGGAUAGUUAUAGGAAAAGGAAUUGGGAAAAACUUAGUUGUUGGGGAGGAGGUUUUAAAAGAUAAAGAGAGUGAAAAAGAAUAGAUUGAGUGUGAGGGAGAAGAAAGAAGAAAUAAGGAAGAUGUUGUAGAUAUUGAUGAGAAAAUAGAAAAAAAUGAAAAACAAGAGAGGAGUGUUCCUAUAAAAGAUGUACCUUAUCCACAUGCUCCUACAAAGAAAUGCAAAGAAAGGCAAUUUGCAAGAUUUAUGAAUAUUCUCAAAAGAUUGCAAAUUAACAUUCCUUUUACUGAAGUUUUAAAGCAGAUGCCUACAUAUGCUAAAUUCAUGAAGGAAUUAUUGACAAAGAAAAGAAAGUUCAAUGACCAGGAAAUAGUUGAAUUGGAAGCUGGAUGCAGUGCUAUAAUCCAAAAAUCAUUACCACAGAAAUCCAGAGAUCCUGGGAGUUUCACUUUGCCAGUUACCAUAGGAAAUCUAACUGUUAGAAAGGCAUUAUUGGAUCUUGGAGCUAGUAUUAAUUUGAUGCCUUUAUCAAUGCUGAAGAAAAUUGGAGAUGUAGAAGUGAAACCAGCAAGAAUGACUUUGCAGUUGGCUGAUAGAUCAAUCAAAUAUCCACAUGGAAUAGUUGAAGAUUUAUUGGUAAAGGUAGAUAAAUUUCUAUUCCCAGUAGAUUUUGUUGUAAUGGAUAUUGAAGAAGAUGUUGAAGUACCUUUGAUAUUGGGAAGACCAUUCAUGAAAACUGCCAAAGUUAUAAUUGAUGUAAACAAAGGAAAAUUGAAGGUUUGUGUUCUAGAUGACAAAGUAAGCUUUAAUGUUUUUGAAGCAAAGAAAUAUUCAAAUGAUCAUAAAGAGUGUUUCAGAGUGGAUAUGAAUGUUGUUGAACCUUCAAUGAUGUUAAUCAGGCGUCAAGCUAUAUGACGUUAAACGAGCGCUUGCUGGGAGGCAACCCAGUGUUUUGUUCUGAAAUGUGUCUUUAAUUUUUGUUUUGAAAUGUGUCUUUAAUUUUUGUUUUGAUUUAGUAGUAUGUUUUAAUAUUUGAUGUCUUUAAAACCAGUUUGAUAUGUGAAAUGGUCAUGUAGGUUUGAAAUGUUAGGUGAAAUGAAUGGAUGGAAGAAGGCUUAGAAAGGUUUGAAACUUUUGGCAAAGACAAAAUGAAAAUUUUCAAGAAAAUUUCAUUGCAGGGUAAUUUUAGCUUAAGCUAGAACUUUUAGCCUAAGCUAGUUAUGCAGAAAAAGAAGAAAAAAAUUUGUUAUGCAGCUUUCGCUUAAGCUAAAAUGAGCUAGCUUGAGCUAGAAAACUCUGUUGCUCUCUGCCAAAUUUUAGCUUAAGCUAAAAAGAGCUAGCUUGAGCUAGAAAACUUUGUUGCUCUCUGCCAAACUUUAGCUUAAGCUAAAACGAGCUAGCUUGAGCUAGAGCAAAUUUGUUGCUCUCUGCCCAAUUUUAGCCUGAGCUAAGAAGCUCUAGCCUAAGCUAGUGAGAUUUCUAAAAAAAAAAAAAAAAAACUGCAGCAUUUUAUAAAAAUCACAUUUUGAAAACCCUGCAACCUAACUCAAUUUCAGAAGCACCCUCUGUUCUAAAAAAAUCCCAAAGCUUCCAACUACAUAAUCAUUCUCAAACAAACAUUUCAUCUACAUUGCCAUUAUCAAGGUAAGUAAUUACUCAUCUCCAUAAUCAUUUUCAUUGUCAUUUCCAUUUCACAGUCCAGACAUGCGUGUUUCUAUUUCCAUUUCACAGUUUCGUUUUUUAAAUUGAAAGAUUCAAUCUUUUUGAAAUUUCAAUGUCUUGAUGUAAAAUAGGAUUGUGGAAUGGGAUAAUCAAAGUUAAGUACGGUUUCCAUGGAUUAAAUACCAAAACAAAAAUUACUCAUUCAAUGUCAUUCUACAUCAUGCAUACCAAGUGUUUGUUAAAAUGUCAAUCAAAUAGAACACUUUGGUUUGAGAAAUGUUUAUUCUUACAUAUGCAGAAAAAUGAGUCACACCAAAUCCACAACUGGUAUUAAAUAAUCCGUCGUUGACACGCACUGAAUUUCAUGAUUAGCUAUCUUGGCCUAGGGACAUGCACAGUUUUUCAGGGGAGGCAAGAGAAUUUGGAGUUGGGACUAGAGUUGAAGGUACACCAGAAAUGGCAGCUGGACCAUCUGGAGCAGCAGAAGAUGAAGAUCCAAACCAAGUUCAGAAUGAUGAUGUUGGCACGGAGCGGAACAAAGUCAUAAAAGGAGAUUGAUACUUCUCAUGCACAAUGAACAGAAAACUGGUUUUAUCUUUUUGUUUAACUUUACUUUCAGUUUAAUUUAGUAAGUUGACUUUAGUAGUUUGGUUUCAUAAUUCUUACUUUAGAUUUUGUUGAUGACAAGCUUAAGUUAGUAUAAUGGUUGAUGUUUGCAUAUUUUGUGAAGUGAAAUCUUGUAUAUAGAUAGAUGAUGGUAUAAUUUUUUGGAAAAAGAAAUCAAACCAUAGUUCUAAAUUAGAACAACCAAAUGGAUUGAUCAGGGACUUAAUUUGAAAAAGAAUUUGUGGUUGGAACCAUCACUCAAAUUGAGAAAGGAUAUUAAUGUGUAAAAGUUGGAACAAGGUAAAUAGUUGAAAGCAAUGACUGAAAACAAAUGAGGAAUUGAAAUUAGCCAACCAAGUGAGAGUGUGAAACCUUUAAACAGUUUGAGAGACUUUCAGUAGUGAAGAGUUAAUUGAGGUUGCCUAAUUUUCUAGUCAAUUUGCAUCACAAAAUCAAAUAUGGAGAUGAUUGAGGCAUGUUUAAUAGAGUGGAGGUGAGAAAACUCAGAACCAAACAGCUAACCUUUGCAAUAUAUGAUGAAAUGUGCAGAAAAAUAACCCUUUUUGAGCCAAAUUUGUUUUAUUGCACCCUAGCUUCUGAUAUACAUAUAUUGUCCUACCUUGUGGUAUGCUAACAAAAGGAGAGCAUAGGUGCAAUUCAAAUUUCUAUAAUUAAAAGAAUUGGGUUUGGUGUGGCUGUUGGGAUUUUGAGAAUGAAAAAAAAAAGAAAAAGAAAAAAAAAGGAAAUGACAAAAUUAUCCAAAUUCUCAUUCUCUUUUCUAAAAAAAAAAAGAAAAAAAAAGAGAAAAAGAAAAACAAAGGGGAUUACAAGAAUAUAAAAAUAAGCAAUGUGAAUGAAUCUUAUGGAAGGGAUAAUGGAUAACACAAUUAGAAAGUGAAUUGCAAAUAUGCUAAUCUUUUGUUAACUGUGCAUUUUGUUAUCCUGGAAAAACCAAAUUUUCUUUAUAACCCAGCCUCAUUACAACCUGAAAAGACCUCAAGCUCUAUGUUUGUGAAAGUGUUUGUAAUCAACUGGAAAUGAAGGGCAACCUUAAAUUAACUUGGAAUUCAGUGAAAAAAAGAGGGAAAACACUCACCAGUGAGGAAUGAAGAGAGAAAUUCUUUAGUUUGAUUCUCAAUGAAGAGUAACAAUUGUUUACCUUGGAAAUUGAAUACAUUCUUAUCCUGUCUUGGUUUGAAUUGAUAGGAAACACCAUAAUUUUUUGUUGAAUUAUCUUGUGCUCUUUCCAUGAAGUUGUUCUGAUAUUAAACUAUAGAUUUGAUUUCUAAGGAUUUUGGGGAAGAAUGAAUUCAUAUUUUUUGGGAUUCAAUUACUUUGCUUGAGGACAAGUAAGAUUCUAGGUUAGGGGGAAUUUGAUAAGUGCCAAUGUGUAGUUUUUAUGAUUGAGAAAAUUGAACACUUUGGAACUUAAUUGUUGCUUAAUGUAAGAAAAUUACCCUAAUCUGAGAAUUAUUGAAUCUGAUUAUAUAUUUUUUGAACCAAGAAACAAAUGAAGAAAUUUAAUCUCAAUUUUAGUGUAAAUUGCAGAUGAAUAUGAAGCAUUGAAAGAAUUAUUCAAGCUGGCUUUGAAAGAAAAAAAAAUGUAAAAACUUAAUUGGAUCACAAGAAGAUUUAGCUCAAGCUAGAGGAUUUAGCUCAAGCUAAAAUUGUCCAGAAUUGAUUAAAGGUGCAGUAGAAUUCUAGCCCAGGCUAGAAUUGCUAGCUCAAGCUAAAACUGUCCAGAGCUGAUUAAAGGUGCAGUACUGAUCUAGCUCAGGCUAGAAUCGCUAGCUCAAGCUAAAAAUGCACCGAAAGAUCUAGCUCAAGCUAAAACGGGCUAGCUUGAGCUAAAGUUGAUUAUAUAAAUUCUAAAACAUAACUCAAAACGAGCGGUGGAAAACAGAUUAGGUUUUUUAGAAAGAGACUAGUGAGAGAAAGAGAAGAAACCUCUGUUCUUAGGAAAAGAACUUGCUCAGAUCAGCCCUUCUUAUGCAAUCCAGAUCAAGAAUGAAGAUUGGAGGAGCUGUCAUGAGUGGCUAAGUUCUUUCUAACUUGGGAUUGAAUGUAAUUUAUCUUGAUCAAAUGUAUUCUUGGUGAUAUAUAUAUAAAAUUCUCUUUUCUACUUGUUCUUGGUAUUUUCGUUUUAUGCUUAUUGCUUGAUUCUGUCUGAUCAAUAGAGUCUUGAUUUUGAUCCUUAAAUUUAACUGGAAAGUACCUUUAAGGAUCUGAAAUAAACGAAAAUACUUGAUAACUUGUAAUGCUAGGAAUAGAUUCCAGGUUAUUGAUUGCAUUAUAAUUCUGUUCCUAAAGCUGGAUGAUUUGUUAAAUAUCUGAGGAAUCAGUGUUUGAGAAAUUAUCUUAUGAAUUUCAUCUGUGAGGAAUCAAGAUGAAUGACUUUAAAUUAAGCAUCAAGAAUAAAUAGUUUUGAGUAUUAUAUAUUGUAUUAUUCAAAAUACAGAUGAUUGAGAUAAACGCAAUUCAAUCCCAAGUAUCUUUCUCUAUAUUUGAUAAGUUGGUUUUGUUACAUCCAAAAUCAAACCCUAAAUCUUUGAGUUCUUGUGAAAUCUUUAAUUUGGUUAUGAACAAAGUCUCAAAAUUAUUUUCUAUACUUAAUGAGUUUUAAAACAGAACAUCUUAAUUAGAAUUGUUCUCUGUGGGUUCGACAUUCGUACUUUAAAGAGUACUAUAUUACAGUUGAUUCGGUACACUUGCCGAGAAAGAUCAACAAUAACCCAAUAGUGGAUAUGCCUUUUAGAUACUUCAUAAUUCUUUUGGCAGCUUUAAGGUGUGAUUCUUUCGGAUUGGACUGAAAUCUAGCACAAAGGCAUACUGCAAACAUAAUAUCUGGUAUGCUGACUGUAAGGUAGAGCAAAGAGCCAAUAAAAUCCCUAUAUUUGGAUUGAUCUACUACAAUUCCAACUGCAUCAGCAUCCAUGUAGCAGCUUGUGGACAUUGGUGUAGUUGCCUCUUUACACUGCUCCAUUUCAAACUUUUUGAGGAUUUCCUUGCAAUACUUGGAUUGACUUAGAAAGAUGCCAUCCUUUGAUUAUUGGACCUGCAGUCCCAAGAAAAAGGACAACUCUCCCAUCAUUGACAUUUCAAGUUCUCCUUGCAUAGCUGUCACAAAUUCUUUACAGAAGUUAUCAUUAAUAGCACCAAAAAUAAUGUCAUCAACAUAGACUAAAAUAAUGGAAGAAAUUUGAUUUUUUGAUAAAGAGAGUUUUGUCAACCUUCCCUCUUUCAUAGUCAUGAGACAAGAGGAAAUUACUUAACCUCUCAUACCAUUGCCUUGGAGCUUUCUUAAGACCAUAUACAAGACCUUUUUCAGCUUGUAUACAUGCUUGAGAUGUUGAUGACUCUACAAACCCGGGUGGUUGUGAGACAAAGACCUCUUCAUUGAUAACUUCGUUAAGGAAGGCACUCUUCACAUCCAUUUGUUACAAUUUGAACCCAUUCAUGCAAGCAAAGGCUAGCAGUAACCUUACAGCUUCCAAUCUGGCUACUAGUGCAAAGGUCUCGUCAUAGUUUAUCCCUUCUUCCUGAUUGUACCCUUUUGCAACAAGUCUUGCUUUGUUCCUUGUUACCACCCUGAUUCAUCUACCUUGUUUCUGAACACCCACUUUAUUCCAAUGAUGUUCAUCUGAUCUAUUUUGGGAACUAGGAGCCACACAUCAUUCCUGACAAAUUGGUUUAGCUCCUCAUGCAUAACAGCAGUCCAAUUCUCAUCCUUGAGAGCUUCAUCAACUUAUUUGGGUUCAACUUGAGAGAUGAAGGCCAUGCUGCAGUAGUUUGCUAUGGUUUUUCGUGUAGAAACUUCCUUAUGAAUUUGUCCAAUUAUGUUUUCCACAGAGAGGUCUCUUGGAAUCCUUCAUUCCUUGGGUAGCUCAUCCUAUUGCAGAAUAUCAAUCGGUUGUUUUUCUAGACAGGUUUCUAGAUUCUUUAGAAAGAUGUUCUGCUCAUCUUCUUUAGCACAAUUCCUCAAGAAACUUUGUUCUGUAGGGUUAGUUUCAUCAAAUACAACAUGUAUAGAUUCCUCUACAGUCAUGAGUAUUUUAUUAUAAACCCUAUAAUCAUGACUAGAUAAAGAGUAACCAAGAAAAAUAUCAUUGUCUGCUUUCUCAUCAAAUUUUCCAAGAUUUUCUUUACCAUUAUUCAAAAAUAUAACACUUACAUCCAAAUACCUUUAGAUUACCUAUAUUGGGUUCCUUCCAUUGAGCAUUUCAUAUGGAGUCUUCUUCAAGAUAGGCCUGAUGAGAACCCGGUUCAUCACAUAACAUGCAGUACUUACAACAUCUGCCCAAAAGUAUUUUGGCAAGGUUACAUCUGGUAGCCACAGCCUUAAUUGGUUGCUUCUCAAUUGAGCUAUAUGCGACCAAGUGCCGCUUCAUCUCUUUGUUCUCCCUUCGGAGGACAUGUAUCUCCUCCUCAUUCUUCUGCCUUAUCUCUGCCAUCUCCCUUUGUGGGGAUAGAAGCAAGACCAUCUGGUCGGCUUCAGUUAUCCUCUUGUAAGUCAUGUUUCGUGUUGAUAUCAUUUACUUCUAUGACUUCUGCUACUCUCUCGGUCCCACGGUAAACACCAAUUAUACUUGUAAAGGGCUAAGACAGUAUUUGCUACCUGUUUGACAACUAAUUCCUCCCCUCGGUCGUGCUUUACUUACUUUCCUUCUUCUUGCAUUCGGGUUUCGGCUCUUGACGGGAGUGCAUCUACAAAAGGUUCUUCGACGCUCAAGUGAGUAUUUAAUAUUUAGGUGUUAUUAAUGUUGUAAUAGUGAAGUACCUUUGCUUUGUCUAAUGUGCUUAUUUAUACCAUUGUAAUUGACUCUAUCAUUGAUGGGUCGUGUUUAUUGUGUAUAAUCAUAAAAAUGAAAUUACCUAAUAUAUCACGUAUUUCUUUUUAUCUUGAUGUAUUUACACUAGUCAGUCGUGCAACAUCUGAUACUUAGAGUUAUAGGAUCAUCCAACCUCGACCAAUACAUGUUUGAUCCAUCAAGAAGAGGUGCAAGUGUUGAACUUAAAUAUAAUAUUGUGGAUAUUCAAUGACUUCAAGAUACUAACCAUUUGAUCCAUUUAAUCUGGCAUAGAUAAGUGUACUAUGUCCUAUAUCCAACAUUUCAAGUAGACAAACAUGGUUGAUAUGUUGAAUUAAAACAAGCCUAAGGUCACAUUGACUCAAAGGUCACAUUGACUCAAAUGACAUGGAAGAGAACGUCCCUUACCAAGUAGAUCAAAUGUCACGUGCCAAUAAAAUCAUAAAAUCAUUGAAGUGGAAGGUAUAUUUGGAUUACAAAGGAAGAAGAGAAAACAAGAAGUUGAUGAUGAUGAUGAUGUGGAGGAGUAAGAAACAGGGUAAAGUAAAUGCAUGCGGCUAUUAAGACAGUAGCAUCGUCUAUGGCUUAUAUAUAUAUAUAUAUAUAUAUAUAUAACAAUGGCUUAUAUAUAUAUAUAUAUAUAUAACAAUGCUUGCGGCUCAUACAUACCCAUACAUGCAGUUCAUGUAACAAAACUUAUAAAUGUAAAUUGAAAAAAAAAUGAAAUACUUUUAAAUUAUACAUAAAACAAAUAGAAUCAGUGUAAAAAACGAGAAAUGAAAUCAAACUUUGUUUAAUUUAGUUUGAAAUAAAGGGAUGAGGCUACGGUGCUUCUUAUGUUGAAAUAAAAACAGAGUACAUAGCAUAUAGUAAGGCAAAACACAUAACAAAUUAUUGAACGGCAACUAUCUUUAUUUCAUAAGCAAUACGAGGAUUUCUGAAUGUAGUAUUAUAUGCUAAAAGGGAAAAGAAUUGACAAAAGUAACAACGAGAAAGCAAAUCCAAUAAACAGCUAAGUAAAGCCAAGCAAGCACAAUGUGAGAAAUGAUGAGAAACAGGGUAAAAUAAAUAUGAAUCUCUUUACUAUGAGCUCUACUCAAAAGAAAAACAAGGAAAGGAUCAGAAAAAAUGAAUUGCAACAAGGACACCAGGACUAAUUCCAUAACUCAAAGGAUCCGGCUGUUCUCACAUUACAAAUUUCUUUAUAAAUCUAGUAAAAGAAUUUUUCUUUGGCAUUGAUUCACUACAUAUUAGAUAGACAGAUGUGUUCUUGACUACCAAUCUAUUACCAAAACUCACAAAAAUCUCCACCUUGUCUCCUGAUCCUAAAUUUGACAUUAUGUCAGCCCAAUCUUCAUUAUUAAAGGAAAUUACCGUGCCAUGGUUGUGUAUCUGGCAUGUGAACUUCGUGUAAUUAACAAUUAAGACAGUACUAAGUUCAGGUUCAAUGAUUUCGGAGGUUGAUAAAUAAACAACACACAAAGCCAUUCCCUUCACCACACGAUCUUGAGGCACCGUGAAAGAAACAGAAUGUCCCUCACCCAUAUGGGCCAACCAAUAAGGAUCAUUGUCACCUGGGAGAGAAACAUCACAUGACUCACUGCUUUCAAAUACCUGUAUCAUGUGAUAAAAAAUGACAUGUUUAGUUAAACAAAAAUGUUAUACAUGAUUAAAACAUAUCUGGUUAAUUUGUGUAUAUAUCACUUUCAUUUCUUUAAGGAUUUAGAAUGCAUUUCUAUUUUUGUCUCUCUUAGUUUAUAUUUCUAUGAUCAUUGGGAAUAAAGCAAUCUUGAAGCUAGUAAAGCAAGAAAGUGGAAAUCAAUUUGGUAGUACUUAGUAUAAGCAUAAUCACUUGGUUAGUUGAUUAUAAAAAUAAGAUACUUUUAGAUGAAUUCGUGGGGCUAGCGAAGCGAAGGGUGCUAAAAGUUCAGUAUUGUAGUUUCUACAAGAUACUUAAUUAGGAUUAUUUUAUGUUCUCUCAAAUAAUAGCUAAAAUGAUGGUGAAGGUAAUAAACAAAGGGAAAGCGAGAGAAGAACCUUAGGUAUGAUAUCGCUCACAGUAUUGAAGAAUUCUUUGUAUCUUCCAACACCAGUCAGAGAAUACCUUACGUGAUGCUUUGAAAGAACUGAUUCUCUAACAUUUGCACCAUAUUCGGCCACUAUGGUUUUUACUUGCUCAGAUAGUUGAAACUCGGCGUCACAUUACACUGAAACGCUUCGAAGAUUUUCGAGGCUGCUAAGCAAUGGUGAUAUAUCAUCCCAAUUAUUAUCUUCCAUAUGCAUGAAGGAAUGAAUAUAAGAUACGGGAUUCAUUGUUGGCGACAUCCGAGACCGAAUGAUAAAAGGAAAAAGAUUAUGUGACAAUCCCUCUAAUCCACGUAGGGAUAUAUAUCCAAUGCUUUUGGGGCUUACAAUUGUAAAAGGCAGUUGUUUCAUAGCUGUAUUUUCAGCAAUUGUAGUCAUGAAGGAUUUCAUUCCCACUAUAUCUAUAUCCAUUAGGUCAAUCUUCGAACAACCAGAUAGAAUCAGAGUUUUUAAACAUUUCAGCUUAUAUAUCUCUCCAGGAAGAUUGCUUAGACUUGUACAGUCCUUCAAAUUUAGCAGUAUAAGAUUGGAGAGACAACCAAUAGAUUGGUGUACUUCGCGCAAUCUUGGACAAUCUUCGAGAAUGAGCUGUUCAAGACUUGGUAGUCCCGAAAAGUCAGGGGUUUCUAUCAAGUACUUGGAGUGACUAAGAUUAAGGACUUUCAGCCACGUCAAAACCUUCAAGAAUAUAGUUUUUGAUAAAAUAUUAGAGAAGAAAAUGAAAAAACGAAAUAGUUAUAACUGAAAACAAAUAAUAAUUUUAAAAGAAAAUGACAAGUAAUAAAAACCUGGGGUUCUUUCCAAACCAAUCGAAGAAAACUGUGUUUUAAAUCAAUCACUAUUGCAUCAUGCAAAUAAAAGUGGUUAGGUAGGUAUUCUGAAGAAAACCCUCGCAAACUGAUCCAUCUUAAUUUCGCAGAAAGGAACUUAGAAUCUGCAGCCAGUUUCAGAAGUCUUGAUGAGUCUCUUACACCUACAGGAGAAUCUCUUGUGGAAGGCCAACCCUGAAUGACUCUU